UUACAUUAGUAAGUUGGCAUGUGAGUGAGUGAGGAUUAAGAAACCGUUAGAAAUGAAAAGUCUCAAUAAUAAUCUACAUUGGCAUGUGAGUGAGCUGAGUGAGGAUUAAGAAAAUGUUAGAAAUGAAGUCUCAAUAAUAAUCUACAUUGGUAAGUUGUCAUGUGAGUGGUUUAAGGGGAUAAAGGAAACUGACAGAAAGGAAAAGACCUUAAUAAUGGUUAAAUAAAUACAUAGAUGAAUAUAUAUAAUCAACUUGGUGGGUUGAGGUGUUGAGAAGCUUCAAAUUGGAAUGUAUCACUUCUGCGCUGGGCUCUAUCGGGUGUACAUUACCUUACAUGUUUGGUUAUAACAGAGUGUAUUGGUGACUUUGCUUCUUGCCUCUUGGUGCUCCCUAAGUACCUAUCUUCUACUGCAUAGUUGGCUUGAGAGAUUAAGAUGGAUCUGGCUUUACUAUGUGGCCUUUGCAGGUGAACAUGCAAGGAUUGGUGGAAUUGUAAUUAAAGACAAUGAUUUAUACAAGUUAGCUAUCUAUGACCUUCGGGUAAGUAUUUAGGUAUGUCGGGCAUGUAGACAAUAGAUGAUGAUAGUUUAACUGUUCUCAGUUCUCACACUGUUUAUUAGAAAGGUUGUAAUUGUUUAACUUUGAAAGCAAGGUUACAUGUUUAGAUAGAUAGUAAAAAGAUAUGGUGAACCAAAAUUAUAGAGGACAAAAGUAACUUCCCUUAAGUUCUAUUAGGUUUUAUGGGUGUCGACCAUGAUUUUGAAAAUAUCCUAUCCUGAGUUUUCCUUACUUUUCAGAUGUUAUCAGAAGAUGGCCGGAAUAAGGCAAUCCCCAAACGUAUGAGUUAGUUGAAUAAUGCUUGCAAAUAAAUUAUUAUGGUGCUAAAAAUCACUACUAUAGAAAAAAUGAAUUAAUUAGCACUGAUAUGGUUCUAAAUUCUAAUUGACGUGAAUGGUUUCCAUUUUUAUUGUCUUAUACUUUUUACUCUCACUAAACUUACUUCUUUUGAUUUCUAAUUUUUGCUCUUGAUUUCUUAUGGUUUCAAUACUUUCAGAGUAACUACAUACAUGCUUCUAUAGGGAGAAAUGUUGCAGAUAAAUUUAAGAAUAUUUUGAAAGAAGUAAAAUAUACACAAUCAUCAAUUGAUGGUCUCAAAGAAUAAAGAACAAAUUAUUAUAAUUAGAAAAAUGCUACAACUAUAGUCAAGAAAAUAGCAUGUAAUGACUUUCUUAACUUUAUAAAAAUCUUACAAUUAAAAACAAACCCGUGCAACGCACGGGUUUAAUUUCUAGUAUUUAGUAAAGAUAAGCGCGCAUAUGCAUAUGUUAUGAAGUCAAUUCGUAUAAUACAACGUAUAUAACACAAAAAUACAAAGGUUGUCUACUCAAUGAGGCGUUUGGAUAGUGAUUACAUGAAUAACUAUAAAAUGAAGUGGGCACCAACGACAUUUCAUUUCUUUAUUACUUGUAUUUCUUGUGAUAAGCAUUAUUAGUGAUAUCUUGAUUAUGAUGGAAAGUGAUGGAGAGACACAUUUUUUUUUUAUAAGCGAUAUGGAAUAUAUUGAAAUGAAGUACAAGGAGUACUUCAACCCAAUACAAAUAGGAAAAGAGAGAAAAAAGAAAAUCAAAAGUACCAACUUUACAAAACAACAACACUGACCCUCCUACUUUGUAUGAUAGCCCACCACCCACCACCUCCUUGGAGAACCCCCUUGGGAAAACCUGGUGAAGGAAAAAGAGUACAUGAUUUCAAUAAUCAAGAGGUAAACUCCAACAAUAGAGAGACACAUGUAUUGUUUUUUCUAUUAGUUUUGAAAUGUGGUACAUUUUUAUUUGUUUUCUUUAAUUUGUGACAAAGGCAUCAAAAUAACUUUUUAGGUUUAUUAAAUUGUCUAAUUAUCAUAGAAUUUAAAAGUUAUUUUAUUUAAAAAUGCUUCUUAAGAAAAAAGCUAAAAAGGUAGACCUCGUACUUUUUUAUUCAUUACUUGAGUAUGUAAACUUCAUUUUGAACACUAUUUUAGUUAGGAAUCCUUUAAGGGCGUGUUAAGUUGAAAUGAUCAUGAUUCUAAUUUCAAUUUCUUUACUAUGCUCAAAACCAUCAAAAUAAAGUUGGCAAGACUAUACUCCGCACAUUUCAUUUCCUUAGUUUUGAGGGUGAUCUUCUAGAAAAUAGACAAUGAUCUUAUAGAAAGUCUACAAGCACUUGGUCUUUCAUAGAUACAAAGAAGAAUAUGUUUAUGUAAUAUGUGCUCAAAGUGAGAAAUUACAAUUAGAUCAGAGGAUUUAAUGUAUUUCUGAAAUUUAGUACAAGAAAAGUACAUAUGUGAAAUGAAUCUUUGAAGGGGGAAACAUUUUUAUCAUUCCAUAUAAAUGUGAAAUGAAUCUUUGAAGGAAAUGUUUUUAGAUGUAGACUUAAUACAACUUAUUCAUAAGUUCCUACUACACCAUAGCAUCAAAAAGUAAUUUUUUAUAUAUCCUCUUUAACGAUGAAAAUUUGACUCAUGUAUAUCCAUAGAAAAAACUUGAAUUUCAUUGUCUGCUACUAAAUCAACUAAAAUCAGCAAAUGUCAAUCAAAAAGCAAAUAAAUCAGUGAUAAGAAACAUGAAAAAGAAAAGUGCCCAAUUGUCUUCGAAAUCAUGUAUACUUGCCAAAGCUUCAUUUAUUUAAAUGCAGUGCAGCAUUUGUAAGAGAAAUCGGACCUUAAAAAACUUACAUUUCUUACAAGAAAAUAUUUCCAACUCACUGUAAAAAAAUUACAUCUGCCUAGCUGCUUUAGCAGCAAAUUCCAGAAACAAUGUCAACAAGGAAAAUGAGAAGAAAAGAAAAAGAAA